UAUCAAAAAUUCAUAAGAUGGAUAAUGUCAUGAUAAAAUGCAAGGCUACUUCACAAAGAAUUAUUUCACAAUUCCCUAAAGGUAAACUCAAAAAGGAAAGCGCUCUGUCUGCUACAAAGAUCUAAAAUGAACUCUAAGUCUUUCAGAUUCAGUUGGUGUUAUUUGUGUGCUGUUUCCUCAUAAGCCUGGCAACUAUUUUGAGCCUCGAGUGUCGAGAGAUAUUCAAGUUUGGAGAUUAUACCUUCCCCAAGGAUAACAUGACUUGCAAUAAUACUGAGGAGCAGUGUGUUAUCGCCUCAUACGAUAUUCCACAGGUGCAGGGAAUAAUGUUCUCGAGAUGCCGAUUGUGCGAACCAGAAGAAAUUUGUAACAUCUUGGAGUCAGGACCACAAGAGGGUGUAACUAACUGCCAAGUGACAUGUUGCAAUACUGAUUAUUGCAAUGAUAUAGGAGCGCAGAAUAAUGGAAAUAGUGGAGCUUCCAAGGACGAAGGGAAAAAACUAAUAAAGAACAAGAAAAUUGCAGAAAAACGAAGGAAACACCACAAAGACUGAUAUAACAAACACCAGCCGACCAGGAAAAG